CCUACGGGUGGCAGCAGUGAGGAAUAUUGGUCAAUGGACGAGAGUCUGAACCAGCCAAGUAGCGUGAAGGAUGACUGCCCUAUGGGUUGUAAACUUCUUUUAUAAAGGAAUAAAACGAGGCACGUGUGCCUUUUUGCAUGUACUUUUUGAAUAAGGAUCGGCUAAUUCCGUGCCAGCAGCCGCGGUAAUACGGAGGAUCCGAGCGUUAUCCGGAUUUAGUGGGUUUAAAGGGAGCGUAGAUGGGUUGUUAAGUCAGGUGUGAAAGUUUGCGGCUCAACCGUAAAAUUGCAAUUGAUACUGGCAGUCGUGAGUACAGUUGAGGUAGACGGAAUUCGUGGUGUAGCGGUGAAAUGCUUAGAUAUCACGAAGAACCCCGAUUGCGUAGGCAGCUUACUAAGCUGUGACUGACAUUGAUGCUCGAAAGUGUGGGUAUCAAACGGGAUUAGAUACCCCUGUAGUC
rnacentral:rRNA from 1 species